rnacentral:lncRNA from 1 species
GUCGCUAGAGAUUUAGGCUACCCCAAGUUCGAGGAAAAGAAAAGCGGGAAGCCGAGACACAUCCCCCCCUCCACGUCGGUGCCCUCGGCCUCCUCCCAUACGGACUUCCGAUUUGCCAACCUCUUAGCAGGGCACUCCCCACGUCCGCAAACCUUCAGUGUUCUGCGCUUGAGGGCCUUUUUCCAUUCCACCUUUCCAAUGGAAGAAGUGGAAAAACUGAACUGGAUCUACACCCACGGCCCUAAUUACUGCUAGACUUAAGGAAAAAAAGUCAAUGUCCCACAGACCUUUUUCCAUCCCGGGUCGGCGAGCGCAGCUACCAGAGAGGCCACUGGGUUCCUUAGGUAAAUCUGUUUGCAACCCACGUUUGGGACCAGAAUACCCGAUGGCCUGCCUUGUGUCUCCCAUUGGUGGGUCCGGGUGGGGACGGUGAAGUAAAGGUGAAUUGCGGUGCAGAUUACUAACAGAGCAGGGGGUCUCUGUCUGCCACCUGGGGGCUGCCUGCUGGGAGACCCUCCAACUUCAUAGACACGAAGAGUGGAAAAGAACACGCCAGCCCCGGCGGCCGGCUCGGAGAUUAAACCCUGUUGGAAGGUAAAACUUUCAGUGUUAGGUUGCUCCUUCUCUGCCCACGCCCCAACCUCCCAGGUUCCCCCCCAAAUAAAUGCACGUGUGGAAAUGAAAGAAUCAAGGUACUAUUUUAACUGCUUCAGACCCUUUGUCAAAACAUCUCCUUAUGCCAUCAACUGAUAAAGGCAUAACUUGCUCUGAGCUUCUGUAUUUCAGAAAAUUGUUAAGGACGACAGCCCCUCUGCGUUUGCUUUGGUGGCAGCGUCCGGAAAUGAUGGCAUUGAUACAGAACAUUUGAAUGAAUAUUUUAGUUAUUAAUAUCACAACCGAAAUAAAGAUACCUCCGAAGUAUUAAUUGGCAAUUUUUUUCCAGGUUUAUUUUAAUUCACUUGGUGUUUGCAUUGGAAAACAAGAGAGAGCCCCGCAGUGUAGAGUCACUUCUGUGCUCUUCUGUUAGGCUGGGAAUCUACGCGGGCUGAUUAGCCAGAGAGGCAGGUUCCUUUGUUGAUUUAAGAGUUCAUCAGGCGAGACAAUUAACAAUUACCUUGUUGCUUUUCCUCAAUUUUCUAUUGUUAACUUAUGUCUGGAAUGCCUCCACUGUACAAAAUUCAAUACAAAAAUGAAAAAAAUUAAGGUAAAAAGGUAAUACUGAUAAUAGAGGUCUAUUUUAACUGACCUUGUGUAUGGAUUGUAUAUACCUCGUAGAUAUAUGAAAAACAUUAGAAGUAUAUAGCAUAUGUUUUAUAUAUAUAAUUGUGUGCUAAUAAUUUUUUGAUAUUACAAUGUAGUUCUAGAAAAAGUGUUUGAAAUACUAUUUCAUAAUACACAUAACACCCUCCUUCCAAGAAAAUAAUUAGGAGGCUUCAAAAUGAUAUUCAGGGUGCUUUGUUAAAAGAACAAAAUCUGAAACUUCAUGGACCCAAGUCACAUUGAACAUGAUGGUUCAUGGCUAGGUUGCUACAGGUUAAUUCUAUAAGGAAAUAAUCCCCUUCGGUUUGCACAAUAUCAUUUUUUUUUUCAGUUGUGUGUUUAAAGUAUAUAUUUUACCACUUACUAGUCUGAAAUUUCCAAUCAUAUCAUAUCAGCAAGAAACAAAAUAGAAAUAAGUCCUAGAUAAUGCUUAAGGACCAACUAUGAUUAACUUUUGUGAUUUGUCAGUAUUGUGCUCUUAUUUAAAUGUAAAUGUUAAUAUAACUAGAGAGUUUACCACCUCAUAAUUUACAAGAAAUUCAUAUAAAGUGGAAGAGCAAAUAUUACUUUCUGUAAUGUCUACUGAGGGUUUAUCAUCAAAAUAUAGUAAUAAUCAUGAUUCAUAUGUUUAACAAAUAUGUAGCUAUCCAUUCUGCUAUCAGAGCUUCAGUCUAGUUAUAAAAACGUUGAACUGUUAUAUCAUGUGUGUUCUUACUUGAAUGUGGCUAAAUUAAUACUUUGCUAUUUCUAAGAAUCCUCCCCCCUACUCCCCAGAUAAAUGUAAUAGCCCAGGAUAAUUAAUGCAUCUUGUACUGUAAUGCUAAAUCAGAAAUGAUAUUAUUACUUAUAACUAGCAUCCUGCGGAUUUUCACUUGAAUAUCAGGACUUAAAUUAUGUUAUGUCCCACUUCAGAAUGUGGUACAAUGUGCUAUUUUGUCUUCUUGGCUUAGUCUUAGAAUUUAUUAUUCACUGUCCUUUUUCUAGCUGUACAAGCCGUUGAUGAUAGUGAUGAGAAGCACUGGUUAUAGCUUCACUGGCUUUGGAAUCUCCUAUGAUAGAUGAAAAAAUAGAAAUCUUAUCUUUCUAGGUAUGGAUGGUGUAUUUCUUCCGAUUCUGAGAUGUUGAUUUAGCUGUCCCAAACAUCACAUGAUGUGCUUCUCCAUAAUCCUGUACCCAAGUCAUUGCGGAUCUGCUGACAUGACUUUGGAUAUGCUGAGCCAGGGCAAAUAGAUUCUUUUGAAUUAUGCCAGUAGUGAGGAAGAAACAUGAGUACAGCUCUCAAAGUGGAAGAAAAGGUAAGUGGGUGGAAAAUCACUCUUGAAUAUGGUAGUGGAGAAAGAAUUGUGUGUGCCUGACUUUAUCAGCUAUCAAAAGAGAGGAUGAAAAUAGAUGUUAGACUAAGAUGAGAAAAGUAUUCAGUUUUGAGAGGGAAAGAGAAAGCUUAUUGAGGACGAGAAAAGAGUGGAAUAAAUGUCAAGAGGAACAAUAGAAAGGAACAGGCCUUGGUGACCCAGUUCAUGUGACACCCAGAUGUUUACUAGGAGUAGAUGGAGGUUGGGAAAGUAGAUGGAAAUUUCGAAAAAGUAGUCUUUACAGUUAUUUUAAUCUGGCAUUUAAACUUUAAAACUUUGAUUUGGGGGGGGUUAUAGAAAUAUAGACUAUUUGGCAAUAAUUUUUAAAAAGUUGUUUUGCAUCUUUAAACAACUUAUACUAGAAUGCUUACCAUAAGUGAACUUACUAUCACUCUUGAUAAAAUGAAUCAGCACAGAAAAUAUGAACUGAAAGUACUAAAAUUACCAUAAAAUAGAUUCCUAUGGUUUUUUGUAUAACUAGUUUCAUUUAACAGCAGGAUUCAGGAUUCAAAAAGGAGAAAAGACUCAAUCUGAGGAGUUUUUUGUUUUUUUGGGGUUUUUUUUUCUUUUUAAGUUUUAUCGAAGUAUAGUUAAUUUACCAGCCUGUGAUAAUUUCUGCUGUACCACAAAGUGACCAGUCAUACAUAUACACAUAUCUUUUGAGAAGGAAUUUUUUUAAGGUGACUUUAUAGUUUUUGAGAGAUUUUGUUAGCUCUUGCCCUUUCUACAGAUUCAAUUAUACCAGAAAGUGUAACUCAUGUAUUUGGAACUGCUUUUUAAACCUUAAUAAAAACGGAAAGAUGUUGUGAAAAAAUUGCCUGAUGCUCAAAUUCAUGCCAGGGAACUUGAAGGGCUGCCAGCAACACUGCUGCUCUGUUAGCAUUUCUGACCUGGCUUCACAUUCUCCUAGUAGCUCUUCUGAUGUGAGAAGAAUGUAAGCCAAAACACGAGGGAGCAUUCUUCGCACCCAUGCACUUGUGUCCCAAAUGUUGGAAAGGUCAGAUACAGUUGUACUCAUAGGAUCUAUUCUGAAGGUCAUAGAGUCAGAAUGUCUGCACAUGUGCACCAACCAACAGACCCAUAAAAGCCUGGUAGGAGGCAGCAGUGCCCCAUAAAAGGUCAUACCCAGCCAGAAUCCAACAACAUUUGAAAGGCGUCUGCUAUAGAGAAGAAAUAUGAGACUGACAGCAUCGUCUUCGGCAGUGGCAGCAGCAGUGAAGAGAUGGAUGGGGAUUAAUCAUAGUAAAAUACUGAGCAGAGGAGACAGCAAAUUCUGCCAAGCAUGAAUACUUCUCUACCCAUAUGUUUCACAAAGUAUACUCUCCAAAGUACAGACAGGCUGAUUGGCCAAGGUCACAUUGAUAUUGCUAACCUAAAAGAAGCAGCUGCCCAGUGUAUCCUAUGGCAGAUGGAGGACACCUAAAGAUUUUUAAUGUU